rnacentral:ncRNA from 1 species
CGGUAAAGCGAAUGAUCAGAGGAAUUGUGGGACGAAACGUCUUCAACCCAUUCUCAAACUUUCGAUGAGUAUGACGUCUUGCUUGCUUGAAUGAAGCGUAGACNUUGAAUGUGUGCUCCAAGUGGGCCAUUUUUGGUAUGCGAAAAUGGCGCUGUGAUAUGAAUCA